rnacentral:lncRNA from 1 species
CAGACUUUUUAUUCUUGUGAUUAGAUUUUAUAUUACAGAGUCUGCACCCUCCUAUUUAGGAAUCUGAAAACAGAUAUUUUCUGGUUUACACUGAGUCUUGAAUAUCUCUUCAGCUGCUUCCUAAUGUUUGUUCCACAGGAAGGGAGCUAGUUCAUAGCAUACAUAGUGUGCUUUGUUGUAUCUGCAUCAGCAAAGUAGAUAAGCUCAGCCUCUCUUCAUCUGAAAAGGGAACAGAGGAGCAGCAGCAGGAGACAGUGCAAUGCUUCAGGAUAUUGUGAAGAUUUCAGGCAACAAGACGACUUUCAGCUGUAUCCAACACUCCAGCUGUGUUUGAUUUGCCUCUUAAUCAGAGAUUUCAAAAAUCAGGCUCCAUCUGCUAAAGAAUUCAAAGAUCCUGGAUUUGAGAGGCUAUUUAUGAACAUCAAACUGUGGUCCAUUUCUCCCUGGAGUAUCAUGCAGAUGUGCAGCUGCACAGCUGCAGCUCUUCAACACCAGUGGAAGUGUGAGCUAUCCACAGACACCAGUAAAAAGCCAGGCCCAUGCAGGCCACACAAGGACCUGCAUCUAUAUCCAGAGCAAAAACUCCACAGUUGUCUCAAGGGAGCAAAGUUUCUCUCAUGCCUGAUUCAUAACCAGAAGAGAAUUUCUCAGAAAUUGGAUUUUAGCAUUUGUCAGCCACAAGUUGUCAACCAAGCCUAUUUUCUCCUGGAAUCACAAUGA